UAAAACCAGCACCUCAAGUGGUCAGGAUGAUUAUUGGGCCUAAAGCAUCCGUAGCCUGCUCUGUAAGUUUUCGGUUAAAUCUGUACGCUUAACGUACAGGCUGCCGGGAAUACUGCAUAGCUAGGGAGUGGGAGAGGUAGACGGUACUCGGUAGGAAGGGGUAAAAUCCUUUGAUCUAUUGAUGACCACCUGUGGCGAAGGCGGUCUACCAGAACACGUCCGACGGUGAGGGAUGAAAGCUGGGGGAGCAAACCGGAUUAGAUACCCGGGUAGUCCCAGCUGUAAACUAUGCAAACUCAGUGAUGCAUUGGCUUGUGGCCAAUGCAGUGCUGCAGGGAAGCCGUUAAGUUUGCCGCCUGGGAAGUACGUACGCAAGUAUG
rnacentral:rRNA from 1 species